rnacentral:tRNA from 1 species
GGAAAGGUGGCAGAGUGGCCGAACGCGCACGCUUGGAAAGCGUGUUUACCGUAAGGUAACGUGGGUUCGAAUCCCACCCUUUCCG